AGAACGAACGUUAGCGGCGCGCCUAACACAUGCAAGUCGCACGAGAAAGGGCUUCGGCCCCGGUACAGUGGCGCACGGGUGAGUAACACGUGGGUAAUGUUCCCUCAGGCAGGGGAUAACCUUCCGAAACCUGGGCUAAUACCGCAUAAUACCUACGGGUCAAAGGAGCAAUUCGCUUUAGGAGGGGGUCGCGGCAGAUUAGUUAGUUGGCGGGGUAAUGGCCCACAAGACAGUGAUCUGUAUCC
rnacentral:rRNA from 1 species